rnacentral:sRNA from 1 species
UAUUUUAACAUCAAACGAACUUUGAUUAAUUUGAAGAGUGAUCCUUGUGGAAGAUUUGUACAAAAAAACUAGGAAGAAAUAAAUGGUGUAUAAAAUUCACAUUGUUUGGUAUUAAGUUCUUUGUCAAUCAAUCAGCCGCUUCGUUGUUGUUCCUUGAAACCCAUGUGAAGGUAGAAUUUGUGAACUUUUCUGCCAGGUUAUAGACUUUAAAAUUCUUCAUUUCUCUAUUGAUAAUAUGUGGUAUUUGCUUGUUAUCUCCUUCAAAAGUGACAUUCCAAAUCCUCGUAUCCAAGUGUGUUGCAGUUCCGCCUCAAUGACGAUAUUACAGGCUUUGCCUCUACUUUGUGUUGCUUCAACAAAUAAUCCUCUAUCAUCUCGUAUAAUCUAGCCAGCUUUUUCAUUUUUCCCAGUCCGUAGGAGACUACAAUCAUAAUUACAUUUUAAAAAACUACUUGAUGUGGUUUACGCCAUUGUUGGUAUUCUUGUGUAUAUAAAAUGAUUUUUUU